UCCUACGGGGCGCAGCAGUGAGGAAUAUUGGUCAAUGGUCGGGAGACUGAACCAGCCAAGCCGCGUGAGGGAUGAAGGUACAGAGUAUCGUAAACCUCUUUUGUCAGGGAACAAAGGCGGGGACGUGUCCCCGGAUGAGUGUACCUGAAGAAACAGCAUCGGCUAACUCCGUGCCAGCAGCCGCGGUAAUACGGAGGAUGCGAGCGUUAUCCGGAUUUAUUGGGUUUAAAGGGUGCGUAGGCGGGUUAUCAAGUCAGCGGUAAAAUCGUGGAGCUCAACUCCAUCCAGCCGUUGAAACUGAUGAU
rnacentral:rRNA from 1 species